ensembl:snRNA U6 U6 spliceosomal RNA
GUGCUCGCGUGGACAGCCCAUAAACUAAAGUUGGAAUCAGAGAAGAUUCGCGUCACUUCUGCACAAGGGUGACUUACAAAUUCAUGAAGUGUUCCAUAUUUGU